UUGUAUUGUGCAUAAAGGUGUAACUUCAAAGCUGUUAAAUAUUAGUUGAAGUUUCGUGCCUUCAUUUUAUCAAGUUAGCUGGAAUGAAUUACAAAAAAGCAGAAGAAACAUGAAAUUGCUCAAAAACAAGACUUCCAAGUUGGAAUGGACAUAUGUGUAGUACUUUGUGGCACAUCAAAAAAAAAGAGAUUAGCGGAUAAAAAGGAGGAGGAUGCUCCUGAGAUAGAAGUAGGGCUGCAUGGAAAGUUAUUGACUUAUAAAUUCGGUCACCAUGGAGGAAGAUCUGCC